UACGUAGGGUGCAAGCGUUGUCCGGAAUUAUUGGGCGUAAAGAGCUCGUAGGCGGUUUGUCGCGUCGAAUGUGAAAACCCUGGGCUCAACCCCGGGCCUGCAUUCGAUACGGGCAGGCUAGAGUUCGGUAGGGGAGACUGGAAUUCCUGGUGUAGCGGUGAAAUGCGCAGAUAUCAGGAGGAACACCGGUGGCGAAGGCGGGUCUCUGGGCCGAUACUGACGCUGAGGAGCGAAAGCGUGGGGAGCGAACAGG
rnacentral:rRNA from 1 species